CGCCACGCGGGAGGGCACUCGGGACGCGAGGGCGGGAGGGUUGGAGCAGCGCCAGCCCGGUAUCCAUUCCAGGCGCUUCCUUCCCGUCAGUCUCUUCCUCCAAGCGGCCUGGCGGCGACGGAGCCUCAAAACAAAUGCACAUGGCCCUCCCCCGCAGCGCAGGGAGGGGGCCUGUGGGCGAGUCCCGCGGGGAGGGCAGGUGAGGGGAGUCAGCCCUCCUUGACCGCAUUUUAUUUUAUUUUUUCUUUAUUUUUUUCUCUUCCUUCCCGAGGCGAAGGGGCGCUGGGUGGCCAACCGCUCCUCUCUGGGCGGGGAACAGUCCGCGCGGGAGCAAAGCCGCUUCGUCCUGCGUGCGCGCGUGUGAGCAAGCGAGCGUUUCGGGAGCCGCAGGGUCCGGGGGCAGAAGGGUGAGUGAGUGAUCCCAGUUCGUCCGGCGCCGCCGUUCCCUUAAACGGCGUUCAGGAGAGCUGCCGAGAGGUGGGGUAGAGCGGAGGACAAGCGGUAGGAUCCGCGCCCAGAGAAGGGAGCUCAGGUGAAGAGAACGCCUUCGCUGGAACGACGACAGGGCGCUACCGAAGGCGCUACCCGUUGGGGAGAAUUAACGGACGCUGAGCGCGGGGCCGGAACACCCCCACACACACACACAGCACGAGAGCGCGCUUUCUUCUCCCGGAAUCCUGGGUAAGGGGGAGGGGGGAGAAAUAACCGACCCUGUCCGCCUCUCUCCCUCCGCCGGCCCCAGCCAUGGAGACCCUGAAGCCUCCCUUCAACGCCGGCGGCUGCUCAGCGCUUAAGGUGGUGCAGCAGGAAUCCUUUUCCCUCCGUCAGGCGGAGACGUCUCGGCGAAUUCUCCCCCCCCCCCUCGCCCUGUUCCUCCUCCUCCUCCUCUCGCCUUCCUCGGCGCUGCCGUUGGGGGAAGCCCCGCGCGCGCCCGGCCGUUCGUCCGCCCAACUGCCAGAGAAGGACCAGCAUUCCUGCUGCAGCUCAGCAAAAUUCUUGGCCCCCUUAAGAGUGCUUGAUUUUACGGUGGCGCUAGAGGGUCAAAAAAAAAAAAUCCCCUCAGCCUGAAUGGGUUUCGGGGUUGUGCGGUUUUUUUCUAAUCGCGGCGACGGUAGAACGUUUUUAUAAAGAUUUGGGAGGAUGUGGAUUCUUUCGCCCGUUUAGAAGAGUAGCAGGACGAGGGGAAUUAGUUUGAAUGAGAGCCGUUGAGAUGGAGGCAAUUCAGAUAUACCCUCACUAAAGAAGAACGAAGAAAAAGUAUUGUCCUGUCAACGCCUGCCUGGAGUCAAACUUGACUUCUGAGGAAUUCGUGGCCACGUCCACGAAGCUAUCCUGGCAACAGUAAAAAUAAAAAAAAGUGGUUCGCGUUAACUUUUUCCAGGAUUGAGUUUUUUAGACUUCCCAAACAGCUUCAUUACGAAUAUAAAAUUCAGGAAAACAGAUGAAGAAAAAAAAAUCGGGUGAGAAGAGGAGACUUUAAAAAAAACCCAGUUUCCUCUUCCUUCAGAAGAGUUAUUCGCCGACGAGUAGAUCGAGGCGAGCAUUUAGCCCACGCAAAAUUAGGUUGUCUUAACCCACGCGGAUCUACCGCCUUUGGGGCUCCCGAGAGGGUAUGUUUAUGUUUAGACUUCCUCUGGCGGACCCCAGGUAUUUCACCGUCAGGGGGGUGAAAGAAAUGCAAAGGCUUGGUGCGUCCCCACCACCAAACACCCUAUUCUGUCAGACAUAUAUUUCUGACGUCCUGAAGUGAAAGCCUUUCCGCAACUGUCAUGCACGAGUGAGCAGAACCGGCGAACCCCAGUAGCUGCCGCAAAAUUACGGCGAAGCGCCUCCUGUGCGCCGAGGCUGCUGAAGCCGGGUAACCUUUACAACCGGGGCCGAAGAACACCCCCCCCCCCAAAAAAAAAGACCAGGUAAACUUAAUGUAAUCUCGCUGGAGACUGUAUCCGGUUGAAAAGCAAAAGAAGAGUCUCGGCUCUCAUUUUCCUCAUCCCUCCCAACACCAACACUCCUUUAGUAGUUUUGCGAGCCGCUGCGGUGGACGCUUUCAGCCUUCGGCAGAGGCACAAAGCGAGGUGGUGACUUUGGACUUCGGGCUCCGCCGAGAACUGGAGUCUGGAGGGGAAAGACGCGGCGUUCGCGCUCUUCUUCCAUCUCACGAGGAUGGACUUACUAGGCUAGACUGCUGCAGCUCGCCUCUCCGUCGACCUUUCUGUGGCCAUCUGGGGAUAGAGACCCCCCACUCUAGGAAGCGCUGCUGGUUGGCAGCUCCGGAACUACGGAGAACCCCUGACUAGGCUACCAGUAUCUCCUGCCACGAUGCAAGAUCUACUUUAUUUACUACUAAAAUUCUUGUGUCUGUUUGUCUGUUUGUAACAUUCAAUUGGACAAAAUGGUGCAUCAUAUGGGAACAAGUUUUCAACCAACAAAGUAUAUCAGAUGGACUAACUGACAGACCAGGACCCAUCAAUCCAGUGAGAAUGAAAUUUGGGGACGUUGUGGCCUCUUCAGCAUCAUUACCGGGCAAACAGAAAAAAGAAAUACUGUUUCCUGAUUCCUACUUACAUCUUUCUUCAUUCCCUUCUCUCUAUGUAACCACAGAAUAUUUGAAAUAGUGCCCGUAAUUAAACCCAUUUCCUUCAGCUUGUCCUAAGA